rnacentral:rRNA from 1 species
CCUACGGGAGACAGCAGUGGGGAAUAUUGCACAAUGGGGGAAACCCUGAUGCAGCGACGCCGCGUGAGUGAAGAAGUAUCUCGGUAUGUAAAGCUCUAUCAGCAGGGAAGAAAAUGACGGUACCCGACCAAGAAGCCCCGGCCAACUACCUGCCAGCAGCCGCGGUAAUACGUAGGGGGCCAGCGUUAUCCGGAUUUACCGGGUGUAAAGGGAGCGUAGACGGCAGCGCAAGUCUGGAGUGAAAUCCCGGGGCUGAACCCCGGAACUGCUUUGGAAACUGUGCGGCUGGAGUGCGGGAGGGGUAGGCGGAAUUCCUAGUGUAGCGGUGAAAUGCGUAGAUAUUAGGAGGAACACCGGUGGCGAAGGCGGCUUACUGGACUGUAACUGACGUUGAGGCUCGAAAGCGUGGGGAGCGAACAGGAUUAGAUACCCCAGUAGUC